rnacentral:tRNA from 1 species
GCGGACGUAGCUCAGUUGGUUAGAGCAUUGGUUUGUGGUACCAAGGGUCGCGGGUUCGAACCCCGUCGUCCGCC